GAGGCAGGAAAAGGCCGCCAAUGAUUAAAGAUAAUUAAACCAAAAAAGAGUAAUUUUGAAGAACAAGCGGUGUCGAUCGAUCGGCUCUCUCAUCUGUCCUCGUCGUCGUUGUUUCCGUCGAAGAUAUCAAUUGUUAUGGGUGUCAUCCAGCAUCAAGUUGGUGUUUGCAUGCCUUCCACCCAUAGGUGUUGUUAAGGGCCAAAGUUGGAGGCUUCUAAACACUGCUUCCACAGGCCUGUGAUGAUGGAGUUGUCAUGCCUUUUGCACUUCAAACAGUGUGACAAUACUUCCAUCUUAUUCUUAUGGCUACAACAGUAUAUUUGAUCAUUUGGUAUCAUAGUCUUUGAUGUUUCAGUUGGGGAAAAAGCCAUCAAGCAGGUUAUCUACAAACUCGAGCUUGGUUGUAACUGUUGGAAUCAUGGGGUACCUAAACUCUAUCCAACUGUUGGAAUCAUCAUAUUCUAUAUGUGUCUGAAAAGGACCAGCAAUCUUUUGGGACCAAGUUCAUCAAAGAUACCUUUGCUGCUGCGUUGAUCAACUUUUGAAGAUAUGGAUUGUAAACAUGUAGGUUAGGAACCAGGUUUAUGAAUGCCUUUGUAAAUCUUGUAUCAUAGGAUGUGCCGAAAUGCAGAUGAUUCAUCUGUAUAUGGGAAGGUAGUCAUCUUAUUUUAACGUGAGUGGUAUAACCAGUUCCAAUGUUACAGACACUGAUGUAAACAUAAUUUGCAAACGGGAUGUGGUUAUACAAUUAAACCUUGAUAACAGUGAAGAGUUCAUCUGCAGGUGCUUAUGAUU